rfam:Punica granatum cultivar Dabenzi C5273506, whole genome shotgun sequence.
UAAACGGUCCUUUUCAGGACCACAAAAAGUUUCCCGAGAGGAUAACU